ensembl:lncRNA
CUACAGGGCUGCACCUACAGGGCUGCACACUUCAGAGGACUUUUUAUAGACAGCGCCACCUACCGCAAUAGAUGAUCACUAACGUGCACAAUUUACGUUUUAAAUUGGUGAUUUCACUCAAAAUACACUUACAAUACAAAAGGCUUAUUCAGGAAGAAUUCCCCGUUCAUUUUAACCCCUGUCAGUUUUUCUACACAGCCGGAGGCUGCACUUUCAGGAACACACUGAUAGGACCGCAGUUUAAGGGCCGCCAACUUCUUCUCGGGCCCCGUUGUUCGUGUUUCCCACUGUGUUGAUGCUAAACGAAGUAGCAGCAUUUAUCGCCAUGAUGGACGACGGUAACCAUAUGGACAUCCCUUUGAUAGAGAAGUGGUGGUGUCUUCUUCCCAUGGAGCGUUUCCAAACAGAGGGGUACGACAACCUGAAACAAAAUGUGUAUAUAGAUUUUAGUGGCAAGUUAGGAGUUCACUUCCACUUCAUCAAACUGAUAACACACUAUCAGUGCCAUGUCAGUAGAACAUCUGAUAACUACAUUAAGUUCAUCAGACUGUGGAUGGCAGUCUUUGUCGAGAGUAUUUGUGCAUGUCAUUUUUUUCACCAGUGUAUUCGCUUUUUCCCAUUAUUUAUCUUAGAUGAAUAUUUAUGUUCGAAAUAUAUAGCCAGAGGUUCGCUUUCUGGACUAAUGAAGCCAGAAGCCUGCUCCAGGGAACCCUGAAGCCUGUUUACACAGUGCCAAGGCGGGGUGCUGUCACUGAUGAAGUUCUGCUCUAUAUGCAGGCUGUCACUGAACGCACUGCAAAGGAAACCAGACUGGUGGACUUCAUUAUCCAGUCAAAGGGAAUUGAGGAGUAUUUGGUGGUACUUUGAAAAUGUUCCUGUUUUCUCAUCAUUGCAGACUGACUCAGAAAAGAUUCACUUAGGGCCUUUGUUAGUAAUAUUAUCAGUGGACAGAACACUUUUUGGCUGUGUUUCAAAUGAAUAACUGAGUUCCAGAAAUUCAUUGUUUCUAUACUUUGGUUUGCCCUCAGGAUGUACUUAGUGGCAAACACUCUACUUGGAUUCAUCAGAAACCUUGUUGCCAGAUGCCUGUCUACCUGGAUAGUGAGGAACAACAGGACAAGCUUUUUGCAUUCUUAAAGACUGUACUGCACAGAGGACCACAACACAACUGAGCUUCACAGAUGAAGUUGUGUUCAUCUUUGAUGUUCUCUUUCCAGAGGCCAUCAUAUAUGGCCUGUCUAUGCAGGACAAUCUGCCCCUGCAUGAGGCUGAGCAGGUCUUCUUCAGUGGUCCAGCUUACCAUCAAAGUGAAGUGGAGGAGUUUUGUCAAAGGAUUUAAAAAGACCUGAAGAAAGAAGGCAGACUGUUCAGUUGUUAUUUAUAUGCCACCAUUGUGUCCAGGUUUUGUCCAGUCUGCUGGUAUCUGUGGCUCCAUGGGUGCACAUUUGUGGUCAGUUUGGUCCAUAUCCACAAAACUCACCAUCAUUCAGCAAACAACUUUUGCAGCACUUUGCUUCACUUUACAUUCAUCUUUGGAUUGACCGUGUCUUUAGAUUCAAAUAUCUGCUGUUUAGAGUGAUGAAAGAAUUGUGUAUUGCUCUCACCAUAAGCUAAACAAAGCUUACAUGACUUUCAGUCUCAGUUGGAAGCACAAUAUAAGCUGUAUAUAAAUUACAACGUUAGCUCUGUUAAGCUUGCUCAUGUAUAUGCCACUUAUUCAAAGUUUAUCUUGAUUGCAAGUGCUGUAUUCACAGUUUCUGCUUAAAAACUGCAUGUUCAAUAAUAUUUAGAUUUUAUGCUAUUGCAUAAACGGUUGCAUUUGUAGAGAAUGUGUCUAACCAUCAGACCAUUUACAUGUUAUCCAAAUGACCCAAAAUAGUUAUAAGGCUUUUAUCUUAUUUGAGCCAAAAGAUGUAUUUAAUUACAAUUUGUAAAACCUCAUCAUGCUCUUGUCUUUCUAUGGUGAUGAAAUUCAGAUUUAAUAUAAAAGAAAUAGCUUCAAGGCUGUACUUGAUUCACAUUCACCAUCCCUGCUAAUAACCUGCAACAACAUACUGAGUAUAAGUCACAUUUUGGAGCUGUACUUUAUCUGGCUGUUGCUGGUGUACACUGUUGUCCUCUGGAUGUUAUUAGUUUUUAAAGGGAACUUGUAGCUUUUUCUUUAAUGGUCAAAUUGUUUUUUUUUCUUUGCUAUUUUGUGUCUUGUAUUCAGUUGUAUUUGUGUCAUUGUGUGAAGUAUGGCUGUCAUUGUAAGGAUCUCCUUCCCACAGUAGAUGUGUCAAUUGCCCAGCAGGAUCAUACCUGCUUGGGUGGCUGUAUUUUUCUUCUGUAUUCUGUAGUGCUUUAAAAAAAAAAAAAGAUGUUUAUUGUGAUUUGGACUAGUUGCUUUUGUACUUGCUUGCUGAUGUCUGUAAAGUUGAAUGGGGGAGUUCAUUCCAGAGGAAAAGUGGAGGAACUACUAAUGUGAAGAUUGAAUAUUAAGAUGUACUACUUGUUAGAUGUGUUCCACAUCACUAUGUAUGUUAUUUUCUAUGUUUUGCAUGACAUGCAGGUAAUUGGAAUGAUUUAUGUUGUCUGGAUGUUGUCAUUAAAC